GCAGGGGAAGCAAGAUGAAGUCACAGACCCAGGUCCUCAUAUCCCUGCUGCUUUGGGUGUCUGGUGCCUGUGCAGACAUCGUGAUGACUCAGUCUCCAUCCUCCCUGGCUGUGUCAGCAGGAGAGAAAGUCUCCAUUAGCUGCAGGUCCAGUCAGAGCCUUUUAUACAGCAAAGACCAAAAGAACUAUUUGUCCUGGUACCAGCAGAAACCAGGGCAGUCCCCUAAGCUGCUGGUCUACUUGGCAUCCACUAGGUACACUGGGAUCCCUGAUCGCUUCACAGGGAGUGGAUCUGGGA